rnacentral:tRNA from 1 species
GGGAUAUUAGUUUAAUGGUAGAACAAGAUGUUUCGGCCAUCUUUGUUGCAGUUCAAGUCUGCAGUAUCCUU